ensembl:lncRNA
CAGAGAUAAUUAUCCUGUGGACUUACAUUGUGUUCAGAAACGUCAUGGAAACAUUGGAAACAACAUGUUGCACCUGUUAAUGCACAUUGAGGGGAGAUCUAUUAUGCUAAUUGGUGUGUGUGUGUGUCCAAAUAGUGCUGGGCUCGCUGGGACUCGCUGGGUUCUGCCUCUUAGUUUAUAGUGGAGGCAUUGAGCAGACACUUUUGUCCAAAGCGACUCGCAGAACAAAACAGAAAAGGCUCAGGUCUGGCGUGGGUGUGGCGGAUUAGGGCCAUAUGUGGUUCAGAACCGGCUGUUUCAGAACCGGCGGGGCGGGAGGGGGGGGGGGGGGGUUGGGGUGUGUGCACUUCUGUCCCGUCCGCUGAAGGCUGCACUCGGGAUGCCUGAGCGGUAUGCUGGUGCACUUGAAAGGCGGUUUGGUAGCGGUUCUAGGUAGUGUUUAGGGUUUUUUAGGGCGGUGACUGUGCCAUGACUGCUGAAAAAGAGAGCUGCAGAGGGGGAGAUCUGGCAGGCGUCCCUGCCCGGAGCUGGGCCAGAUCCGGGCCACGUUUGGGCCAGAUGCCGCUGCGGUGCCAUCAGGGUGUAGAGCGGAGUGCUGUUCUACUGAUGCCGCUGCGGUGCCAUCAGGGUGUAGAGCGGUGUGCUGUUCUACUGAUGCAGCUGCGGUGUCAUCAGGGUGUAGAGCGGAGUGCUAGUCUACUGGAAGUUACUGGAGUGUCGGAAGGGAGGAGAGAGAGAGAGAGAGAGAGUCAGUUGUCAGUGUGAGGUGUUGGACUGUAAAGUGGCCUUUAAAGCAGAGAGAUAUUCUGAUUGGUCAAGCCGUAAAUAUCUGCAUGGCCAAAGCCACUCGCACCCUGGCUGGAAGAGAAGACGCAUGCCAGCAGUGUGUGUGUGUAAGUGUGUGUGUGUAAGAGUGUGUGUGUGUGUGUGUGUGUGUGUAAGUGUGUGAACAUACUUGAAUAAAUCUGGCACACACACACAGGAGGGUGGCACAUAUAGUUUUGUACCACUACAGGAAACUAUGAACUAUGUUAGUGUACACACACAAGCACAGGCCAGUGUCUACACACAAGAACUAGAUAUAUGCAUAUGCGCCCACUCACUCACUCACUCACACACACACACACACACUCUGUGCAGUAUGUCAUGUUUACUUUUAAUUGGCUCCGCGUUCAGCCGGGCGUGGACUCCUCUCAUUUCUCUCUCUGCCUCGUCUCCUGGCUGACCACCCAAAAGCACAAUUUCUUUGCUUGUGCUUCAGACACACACCAAAACUGGCUAAUGAGGCAACAUUUGAAAGUGUUCGGUGUCAUUGCAACAGCAUAUGGCUUGGCAGAAGCGGUGUGUGUGUGUGUGUGUGUGUGUGUGUGUGUGUGUGUGUGUGUGUGUGUGUGUACACACCAAGACCAUCUGUCUCCUAGAGAUGAGAAGACUCUCUCUCCCUUUUAGUGUUGGUGUGUGCCAGG